rnacentral:lncRNA from 1 species
UAAUUAUUCUCUAUUUUUUCAGUGUAGAUUAAUAUUAGAAAUUAAAUUUCUUGCUACAUUUAUAGUUAACAGAAAAAAAUGAGUGUAUUCCGUACAGUGUCUAAUAGAAUAAUCACAUUCCGUAAUUCAAAGGAACGAAAAUGUAUAAAUGAUCUGCAAAUCCUGAAACCACGAUCAGGUAUUCAAUCCAAAAGCUUUGACAUUACAUCCCGUACUCAUGUCCGAAACAGUGAAGGCAACAGUAAAAUACAAGAAAAUCAAAAUACAGAUAAUAAUAUUUCAACAAAUUACAGUGACUGGAAAAAAACGUUCUCCAACUGACAGAUGUUAAUUACAAACAACACUUACAGACAAAGAGAAAUUUGUUUAUUCUGUUUCAUGCUAAAUGGUGCAAAUUUUGUGAAGAAUUUAUACCAGUUUUUAUCAAGAUCGCUAGUAAUCAUGAUCCUCUUUUGGGAACUCUUGCUGCUUGUAACGUAGACAAGGCGCCUAAGAUGGUAGAUGACCUCUUUAUCGAGUUGCUGCCGACAUUUAAAUAUAUCCAGGAUGGGCGCUAUGCAAUGAAUUAUUCAGGGGAAAGAACGGAAGCCGGUCUUCAAGCUUUCAUUCGGAAUAUGCAGUCCAUUUCAAAAGCAGACCUAUACGUCUUGGUUUGAUGAAAACAAAUAAAUUAUUCAAAAUAUAUUAUUUUUGGUAAUUUA